CUUAGGAACGCUGGUACGCGUAUGCCUUAGCGGUGCGCCCUUGAACGGCGAUGCGUUAAAACCCUCGCUGAAACCUCACUGAAACUCUCUCUCUCUAAUCGAAAUUAAAACCCUUGCUGAAACUCUCUCCCUCUCUAGCCUAAAUUGAAACCCUCGUUGAAACUCUCUCUCUCUCUAGCUCGCUGAAACUCUCUCUCUCACUGAAAGGGCUUUCUCGCUAGAACUCUCUUUCUCUAGCAAUAUUUUGGCGAAAGCCUCUCUAACAAAAAAAAGCCGACUCUCGUUAGUAAAAGGAAGCCAACUCUCGCUGAAAGCUGACACUGAAAGGAACUAGGUGCCCGCUCCGGAAACCUCAAGGAUGGAUACAUGUUUUCUGAAAAUGAUAGCACAACUGUACAUGUGAAAGUGUGAUAGCUAAGCAAGAGUGCGUAAAUCAAGUAAAUGAAUGUGGGGUACUAUUCGUACCGAGCAACCCUAACAAUUAGUGAAUACUAUGCAUGUUGGUGCCUAGUGAGGUGCAUCCUUGGUUAGAAACCAACUAAAGGUUCGGUUCAAGUGAAAGGCACACCUUAUGCAGGGCUGGGCGCACCUGGAGUCAAGUGUGGCUCUUCUCAAAGCACAAUUCAAAGUGGGGGGUAUAAGCCCUUUGUUCUAGGUCAACCAAGGGGGCAGAGGAAGAUGCAGGAAAGUAGUAAAGCUAUGCUACGAUGCAAAAAUAGAGUAGUCCGAGACGACUGAAGGCUGACGAAUAUGGCAAUGGCGCCAACAAAAGUAGCAAUGACAUCAAGAUCAAGACCACUAGAAACCCAACAGACAAUCCCAACUCUGACGUGGAUGCGGAGCUCGUCGGUGGCAGUGAGAAGGGCGUCAAGACACCCACCACUUCGAACGUACUGGAAGAAAUGGAGCAGGGCAGAGAAAGACCAGCGAUAGUGUCAAUGGCACCAAUGAGUGUUGCAGUUCCAUUGUCUCAAAAUCUCCCAAACUCCAAACAAAAGGAAGAGAGGAGCCCCGGGAGGCAACGAUGGUUUUUUGGGGGCUCAGGAGAAUGGCACUAUUGCUGGUUGCAGUACUGCAACUAUCAAUGGCGUCCUGACCUUGGUUUCCAGAGAACCCAGGAGCAGGGGUUGAAGUAGCCAGGCGUGACUGAAAAUGGCAUCAACACCUUUCCAUGUGGUGUUUGCUCGUAUUAAACCCCAAAAGCAGUGAAAAGAGGCUUGGAGCGAGCCAAGACGAACUCCGAGUUGAUGGUGGCCCAUUGGUCACUUCAACGACUAAGGUGUAUUGGAAGCUUGAUGGGCCCCAUUGUGGGCGUCAUGUUGUUUAUAUUAAAAAAUACGAGCAAUGAACGUGAUCCUCACCUUGGUUUAAGGUGUAAA